UGCCAAUUUUUUGUUCUUCGGGUUGCUAACUCAACGGUAGAGUACUCGGUUUUAAAA
rnacentral:tRNA from 1 species